rnacentral:rRNA from 1 species
CUACGGGGUGCUGCAGUGGGGACUAUUGCACAAUGGGCGCAAGCCUGAUGCAGCCAUGCCGCGUGUAUGAAGAAGGCCUUCGGGUUGUAAAGUACUUUCAGCGGGGAGGAAGGGAGUAAAGUUAAUACCUUUGCUCAUUGACGUUACCCGCAGAAGAAGCACCGGCUAACUCCGUGCCAGCAGCCGCGGUAAUACGGAGGGUGCAAGCGUUAAUCGGAAUUACUGGGCGUAAAGCGCACGCAGGCGGUUUGUUAAGUCAGAUGUGAAAUCCCCGGGCUCAACCUGGGAACUGCAUCUGAUACUGGCAAGCUUGAGUCUCGUAGAGGGGGGUAGAAUUCCAGGUGUAGCGGUGAAAUGCGUAGAGAGCUGAAGGAAUACCGGUGGCGAAGGCGGCCCCCUGGACGAAGACUGACGCUCAGGUGCGAAAGCGUGGGGAGCAAACAGGAUUAGAUACCCCUGUAGUC